AAACGGCAAUAAAUUACAGGUAGUAAUAAAAUAUACUACUAACUCUUUUACGCUACGUCCACACCUACACGGGUAUUUUUGAAAACGCAGCUGUUUCUAUGCGUUUGGGCCUUUCGUCAACACGUAAACGGUGUUGCGAUUCACCGAAAACAGAGAUUAUUUAAAACUCCUUUUUUAAGUUUAUGUGUGGACGAGGAAUACAGAGUUCGUCACGCAACGUCAAAGGGAGAAGAUAUUCUGCAGGAUCCUGCUGCUCAUCAUCCUCACCUCAUGUGUCUCUGGAUCAUUUGUAGUCAAUGUGACACAGACCUCCUAUCAGGCAGAGGAGAACCACAACAUCACACUGGAGUGGACGUUCACCACCAAACCUGACAGAUCCUCCAAAACUCUCAACAUCCUCUGUGAACUCUUCAUCAGUCAUAAAUCCUCAGUCCUGUAUCAUGUUCAUGAAGGUGUUGAGGUGUCAGAGUCUCAGGAUGCAAAGUUUUCAGGACGAGUCCAGAGUGACAAAGACGCCCUCAGAGAAGGACGAAUCAGACUUCAACUGUCCAGACUCAGGACUGAUGACUCGGGUCUGUACCUGUGUGAGGUCAACACUGAUUAUGGCUUCAGUGUUGGAAGAUGUCGACUUAACGUCACUGCUACUCUUCACCAGCACCACUAAUUUCUGAAUGGGCCUUUGAAUGAUGGAUGUUUGGAUGAGGAGUUUGCCUCAUUUUCCUAACUUCCAUUCUCCAAUCUGCAUUGUCACCUUCCGUAUGAGCCUGUCUUCAUCGUCAUGUGCUUCAACAACUCUGGCAAGUUUCCAUUCAUUCAGGGAAAUCCUCCUCUUUGAAGAUCACAAUAUCACCCCCCUCCACGUUAUGUCCUGCCACAUGCCAUUGCUGUCUCAGAACGAUGUUUGCCACAUAUUCCUUCCUCUAUCUGUGCCAAGAUUGCAGAUAUUGGACCCUUCUCCACCAUUUUUAGCAUACAGAUCCUUCUUGACAAAUUUACCUGGAGGGGAAAAUGGAAAAGAGGAUUUCCUGGUGAUCAAGUGAUUGGUGUGAAUGGCUCCAAACUUUUGGAGUCACCGAUGUUAUUGACAAUGAGUGGGAGGUUAUUCCUAAUGGAGAGAGCUUCAUAAAGGAAAGUCUUUAAAGAG
ensembl:lncRNA